GAACAUAUCCUAAAGGAUGAUGGAACAUUCACAGUUGACCAAGUCAAAUUCAAGAACAGAGAAAAGUCUCAAGGUGUCAAUCUUCAGGGAAAGUAUCUUGAGUAAAGUGCAGUAAAACUCGCGCAUAUAAUUACUGAAUCAGCUAAUAACAGACAAAGUGCCGAUGACAUAAGUGAUUUAUUCAUGAAAAUCAGUUGGAUUCAAUAUUCAAAGUGAAGGUCUUAAGAAAUUGUCAAAUAUCGGACCAGAGGCUAACUUAAAGGAAAGGGUCAAAGUGCUUGAUGAUGGACAAGAUCAUUUCUGUUGAAGAAAGAAAAUAUUCUGCAAAUCAACAACACACAUCCAAAAUAACUUCAUAAUUGGUGGAAAGAAGGCUACAUCUAUUUCCAUAAUUUGGUUCAUUUACAUGCUCUGCAAACAUCCUGAGAUUCAAGAUAAGAUGUCCAAAGGUGAAUGAUUUACCAGAGAUCCUGUUACCCUCACUUUUGAGUUGGAAGGAUGGAAGUCGAUUUUGCACAACCAAUCUUAAUAAUAAUCGGGACAUGUAACCAUUACAUCCUAAAGGUUCUUCAAGGUGAAGGAACAUUCACAGUUGAAUGGGACAAAUGUGAGAACAGAGAGAUUUUAGCGGUCUACCAAAUCUAAUCAGUUGGAGGAUAGACGAUUGUGAAAAUCUGGAGCCAUUUCCUGACCUUCAGCUAUCCAAUCUCACCAUGUUAAAACAUAUGUGUAUCAGAAAGUGUCCAAUGCUGCAUAGAAUGUAUGGUCUUGGUGCACUGAGUAUGUUCAAUGAUUACAUUUCAAUACGGAAAUUACGUUAGCAGGGACUUAAGACCAUGACAUCCUAAAAGAUCUUCUAGGUGAUGGAACAUUCACAGUUGACUAGGAAAAAACUGAGAUAAGAGAGAUUUUAGCAGUGUAAGUUCCUUUCAGUCAACAACAUAUGACUAGGAAGAGGGUCCCACUACUGGCCCCGAAUCUCUCAUAUCCCCGAAAUCGACAUAAGUUACUGGUAAAGGCAUUGAAAACAGACUUCCUGCCGUGAAUACCCAAUCAUUGAAAAUUGCCAAAAAUUGAAAGAAAGGUGUGAAGGAAGAGGCUCCCACUACUGGCCACACAUCUCUCAUAUCCCCUGCAUUGAAAUAUAGACUAGAGGUACUUGUUUAUUAAAUACCCUCUGGUAUACAUUUGAUAAACUGGUAUUCUCAGACAUGUGCGUGUUUUUUUGUUGGAAUAGGAUUUGUUGCUCAAAACCUAAAAUUGA